rnacentral:rRNA from 1 species
GAUGAACGCUGGCGGCGUGCUUAACACAUGCAAGUCGAACGGUGAACCCGGAGCUUGCUCUGUGGGAUCAGUGGCGAACGGGUGAGUAACACGUGAGCAACCUGCCCCUGACUCUGGGAUAAGCGCUGGAAACGGCGUCUAAUACUGGAUAUGUGACGUGACCGCAUGGUCUGCGUUUGGAAAGAUUUUUCGGUGGGGGAUGGGCUCGCGGCCUAUCAGCUUGUUGGUGAGGUAAUGGCUCACCAAGGCGUCGACGGGUAGCCGGCCUGAGAGGGUGACCGGCCACACUGGGACUGAGACACGGCCCAGACUCCUACGGGAGGCAGCGGUGGGGAAUAUUGCACAAUGGGCGCAAGCCUGAUGCAGCAACGCCGCGUGAGGGAUGACGGCCUUCGGGUUGUAAACCUCUUUUAGCAGGGAAGAAGCGAAAGUGACGGUACCUGCAGAAAAAGCGCCGGCUAACUACGUG